AAACACGUUUAACACGGAACGAGACGUAAACUUCAUUUCAUUGAGUAUUUGACAUAAUGCUGCAGCCUGAGUUACUUGAACUUUUGGCUUCUAAUACACCAAGAAUUCUUGCAGAUAAAAUACCCGUAAUUCAAAACAGGGAUUCCGAAUGGACUGCAUUUCACCAUAAAGAAAUAGGGGACGAACGAGAUUCACCUUUUAGAUUCAGACCUGAACGUAUCCGCGUGGCUAUCGAAGAUGAAUAUUUUGAAGAUGGUGACGUACAUCGACACAUGUAUCUACAGGAUGUCGCAACGGCAUUUGCAGAAGAUUACCAACCUCCGACCAUCUCUGAAUUCAGAUGCCAUAUUGCUGGAUGCAAACAGUUCUUUGACACACUAGAAGGGUACGAGCAUCACUACAAUGCCUUACAUCGCAAUGUGUGCUCCAGCUGCAAGCGCUCAUUUCCAUCAAACAGACUCCUGGAAAUGCACAUCUUGGAGUGGCAUGACUCUCUUUUCCAGGUCAUGGCAGAGAAGCAGUGCAUGUAUGAGUGCUUGGUUGAGGGUUGUGGACUGAAAUUCAAAACCACGAAAGAGAGGAAAGAUCAUCUUAUUAAAACACACAGCUAUCCAGCAGACUUCAGAUUUGACAAAUCAAAGAAGAUUGGAAGUAAGCAUUUCAUACUGUGUGAUACAACAGAAUACGAGAAAAAAAGAAUCCAAAACAGAAGGAUGCACAAAUGGAGGUUUGUGAAACAGCAGCUAGUCAACCAGAAAGCUCCGAGUCAAUGGACUUCUCUCUGACCCCAGACACAGAAAGCCUGAAGACUUUAGAAACGGAUCCAAUGAAUACAGUCAAUGCAAAGCCACAAUAUUCAUACAGAGUUCCGUCAUCCAUUUGCUUUGGUCAUGGCUCGCUCAGAGGGUUUAGAGGAAAAAGAAGGAAGAAGUAGGCCAAGUCUUUUAUUAAAGGAAUACAAUAUAUCUUGUGUUCGCAUGUUUGGUAAAAAUAACUGUUUACAGACCAGUAUUUUUGUAAUAAAAGUUUCGUAAAGCAACA